rnacentral:lncRNA from 1 species
GAGUUGGCGGCGGAGGAAGACUCGGCAUGAAGGCCAGCCGCCCGGUGGUGUGGUACGUAGUGGUAAUAGUACGCGCCCCGCUCCGAAACAAAGAAAAAGGUGCGUGCCGCGUGCUGAUGUGCCAAAUCUCCUCGUGCUCCUUCCGGAUAAUCCGAAAUCUAGGGGUAAAGGAAAGAUCAAGGUUUUCUCCUUGAUCAAUCGACUUGCCCGUUGAUGGGAAACUCACUUUGCUAUGCUAGGAAACUGACUAAUGAAACUAACAAGUUCAAGUGCUCUAGUCAAGUAGUAAGCUCCAGUGGGAAGCGCUAGUCCAGAUAGAAAGAAUAGACAG